rnacentral:rRNA from 1 species
UACGGAGGGUCCAAGCGUUAUCCGGAAUCAUUGGGUUAAAGGGUCCGUAGGCGGUUUGGUAAGUCAGUGGUGAAAGCCCAUCGCUCAACGGUGGAACGGCCAUUGAUACUGCCAGACUUGAAUUAUUAGGAAGUAACUAGAAUAUGUAGUGUAGCGGUGAAAUGCUUAGAGAUUACAUGGAAUACCAAUUGCGAAGGCAGGUUACUACUAAUGAUUGACGCUGAUGGACGAAGCGUGGGUAGCGAAGCAGG